rnacentral:lncRNA from 1 species
GGGGGUCGCCUGUAUCCCUGCACUAUUUACGUUUAUCAAGCGUCUUAGUGAUCGUCAUUGUGCAGGAUAAACUAGAAAUAAUGGAUGUUCUGUAGGUACUUAAUGAUAAUUCCCUAAUGACAGCAAUGCUGAUUGUCAAUUUUGAGAAUUCAAUUUGCCGAAUAAUUCGUACAAUAUAGAAUUAUAGUUUUCCAACCACUCGUUCAACAUUGGAAUGGAAGUGACGACGCCCCUAAACGCGCA